rnacentral:rRNA from 1 species
AUUGAACGCUGGCGGCAGGCCUAACACAUGCAAGUCGAGCGGAGCGGUGGUCGGGUGAGUAAUGCCUACGAAUCUGCCUGGUAGUGGGGGAUAACGUCCGGAAACGGGCGCUAAUACCUCAUACUAUCACACUAGUUUAGGUCGGAUCAGCUAGUUGGUGGGGUAAAGGCCUACCAAGGCGACGAUCCGUAACUGGUCUGAGAGGAUGAUCAGUAACACUGGAACUGUGACACGGUCCGAACUCCUACGGGAGGCAGCAGGGGGGAAUAUUGGACAAUGGGCGAAAGCCUGAUGCAGCCAUGCCGCGUGUGUGAAGAAGGUCUUCGGAUUGUAAAGCACUUUAAGUUGGGAGGCGUUACCAACAGAAUAAGCACCGGCUAACUACGUGCCAGCAGCCGCGGUAAUAC